UAAAAAAUAAAUUGAAAGUUCGGACGGCAAAGUGGAACAAAAUUCAGGGGCCAUGGUUAUUAUUUCCACCUAUUUUUUAAUAGUUGUGGAAUAAAAUAAGAAAUACAUCACGACCCCAAAUAAAUAAGCCAUUGGCUAUUAGAAUUGAAAAUGGUGACAAUGGUAAUCGACAAAGGUGGGAGGUAGAAAAGUAGAAGAAAAUGUAGUUAGCCAACAUUACUAUUGCGGUUAUGCCAAAAAAAAAAAAAAAAAAAAAAAAAGAAGAUAAAAAGUCACAGCUCACUAUAAGAGAUAUAAUCAACUAUCCACAAAGACUAUGCUAGGACUUAGGUAGUCUAUCUUUUCUCUAACCAAC
rnacentral:lncRNA from 1 species